CUUCUAAUUUAUUACAUGUGGUUCUCAGAGAGAAUCAAAUAAAAUGCACUCUAUGGGACCAAUACGCCGAUCAAAUGUCUUUGCAUAUUAGUAAUCAAAACUCAGCUGACCCAAUCAUCAUUAUUCUGGAGAUGUGUCUGGUCAAAAGUUUUAAUGGUAAUUCCUAUCUUUAGUUACAUUUAAAUAUUGCAUUAAAGUUUCACUUCAUUUUAUUAAUUCACAUAUUUAUUUUAUUUUGUAGGUCAGAAUAGUAUUUCUAAUGCUUUCCACAACUCAAGAUUGUUGAUAAAUGAAAACUCCGAGGAACAUAGGGCGUACAGAGAAAAACUCAUUAGGCAAGAUGGCACAUUUACACAAUCAAUCAGCGUGUCAUCAAAUCAUCGAUCGACGGGGAUUGCAGAUGAUUUGUUGCUAACGAAGCAAAUGACGAUAAAUAAUUUGAGAGAUUGCACUACUGUAAGUAAAUUAUUUCUCCUCGACUUAUUUUACAAAUUUGACAAAACUAAUUGUAAAUUAUAUUUUUAGGAACGCGCUGUUGUUGUACUUGCCAAGGUAAUUGAUAUCGAUCCAGAUACCAAAUGGUGGUAUGAUGCCUGUCCUAAAUGUUUCAGAAAGGUAGAGCAAACAAGUACACAAUUUUGUUGCCCAAAAUGUCCUAAGGAUAUUGAUCCAAUCCCACGGUAAUUUUAAUAAAUGAACUGAUUUUUUUUUUUUUACGUAUUUAUUAUAGCAUUAUUAUUAUAAUUUAUUUUAUAUAUAUUAUUUAUAGAAAAACUCAGUUUGUCAGCACUUGAACAAUUUAAAAUAGAUGCAAGUAUUACUCUUAGUAGCAAAAAGUCUUCCAUAAUUCAUUAUUUUUUUCCAAAUUAUCGGAAGAAAGUAAUUAAAAUAUUUUCUAUAAUUCAUUAUUUUUUUCCAAAAUGGGCUAAGGAUGUUGAUCCAAUGCCACGGUAAUUUAAUCUUCCAUAAUUGGAGUUGCCCUAUAACUAUAAGUAUGGUGUUUCACAAGUUCAUACAUACAGGUAUAGGCUUCAAGUACUGGUAUUUGAUACUAUUGGAUCCACUAAGUUUGUCAUGUUUGAUAAAUUCGUUUGCAAAAUCGUGGGCAAAUCAGCAACCGAACUUAUUGGUGACGUGCAUAAGGUAAUAUAAAAACCACUUUCAUAUGGAAUGCUGAAUUACUUCUAUUUAUAUUUAAUUUUCAAAAAAUCCUUGAUCAUUGCUUUUUGGUAGGAUAAUUUGACCGAUACAAUUCCUAAAGAAUUUGAUGCCAUCAUCAACAAAGAAUUUAUGUUCAAGGUCGAAAUCAGUGCGAUGAACAUAUCAAAAAGUUGGUCAGUUUAUACUGUAAAAACAAUGACGGGUGAUCACGAACUUAUUCGACAGUUUCGUGUUAUGCAUUCUAUCGAGGUAUAAGGCCACAAAUAUAGUUUAUAUGUUGCAUCAUAAAAUUAUAUUAAUUUUUGUUAACUACAAGAAUUUGUUGAUGAGGAUGAACACUCAUCCGACAACAAUGCUCAACAGCAAGGCGACAAUUUGGAUGAUUUUGUCGAACCCGAUGAUGAGACGACUCCAAUCAGUAAAUUACGUGGUAAAG